rnacentral:rRNA from 1 species
AUUGAACGCUGGCGGCAGGCCUAACACAUGCAAGUCGAACGGUAACAGGAAGAAGCUUGCUUCUUUGCUGACGAGUGGCGGACGGGUGAGUAAUGUCUGGGAAACUGCCUGAUGGAGGGGGAUAACUACUGGAAACGGUAGCUAAUACCGCAUAACGUCGCAAGACCAAAGAGGGGGACCUUCGGGCCUCUUGCCAUCGGAUGUGCCCAGAUGGGAUUAGCUAGUAGGUGGGGUGACGGCUCACCUAGGCGACGAUCCCUAGCUGGUCUGAGAGGAUGACCAGCCACACUGGAACUGAGACACGGUCCAGACUCCUACGGGAGGCAGCAGUGGGGAAUAUUGCACAAUGGGCGCAAGCCUGAUGCAGCCAUGCCGCGUGUAUGAAGAAGGCCUUCGGGUUGUAAAGUACUUUCAGCGGGGAGGAAGGGAGUAAAGUUAAUACCUUUACUCAUUGACGUUACCCGCAGAAGAAGCACCGGCUAACUCCGUG